GUGCUCACUUCAAUAGCACAUAUACUAAAACGGGAAUGAUACAGAGAAGAUUAGCAAGCUCCCUGAGCAAAUUCGUAAACAAAGCUGGUUAUAGAUAGAUGU
ensembl:snRNA U6 U6 spliceosomal RNA